CAUCGCCGCGGGAAUACGAACCGUGCGAACGUUAUUCGGAAUUACUGGGCUUAAAGCGCGUGUAGGCGGGCCGCCACGUCGGUUGCUGAAAUCCCCCGGCUCAACCGGGGAAGUGGCAUCGAUACGAGCGGCCUUGAGGGGGGUAGGGGGAUCUGGAACUUCCGGUGGAGCGGUGAAAUGCGUUGAGAUCGGAAGGAACGCCCGUGGCGAAAGCGAGGUCCUGGACCCUUUCUGACGCUGAGACGCGAAAGCCAGGGGAGCGAACGGGAUUAGAUACCCGCGUAGUCCCUGUCUCUUAUAC
rnacentral:rRNA from 1 species